GGGCUAUGUUCACCUUGGAAGACACUUUGUCCCUUGGGCACUUCCCUGGGAAGAGGACCAGCUUGGUGGCCAGCCGAACAGUUGUGCAGUGCCCACCUCCAAGGACAGCAUCAGCUGAGGGAGUAAUGGAGCAGUCGAAAAUUAGCCUCCUUCCACCUGACCCCAACAGAGUCUUUUAGAAGUGAAUGAUAAUGGAUCAGAGGGAAUGAAAACAGAUGGAUGUUAAAACAGACAAUUCCCUGCCACGAACCUGGGAGCCCUCCACUGCUGCCUAGUCCGUUCAUUCAGUUCAUAAUUGUAUUAGACAUUCCAACAAUAGAGAGGCCUUCUUCAUUAAUCCAGAAUUUACUGAAAAGAAGCUUUGCAGACUAUAGCUCUUUCGAUGCUUAGACAACACCGGGCAAAAUUUACCACAGGCUUAAAUGGAUAGAAAUCAGCUAGAUGGAAAGGAGCACAGAAAAUUCCAAAAGAAGCGAAAGAGAUGGGCCAGUGAGACUCAGAAGGAGCAGCAGCACUACGGGUGGACAAGAGACGCUCGAUUACCUUUGCAACAGGGCUGCAGCUUAGAUGAAAUCAAGGGAACUUGAAGAAAAGCUUUCCUCUUGCUGAAGGACAGAAGGAGCUGGACUUACCAAUAUUGCGCCUGUGAUUGAUUUGCUUUCCCCUUCGGGCAGCCAGCCGCCAGCUCGCCACAUGAGCCAGUGAAUGCCAGUCCCUGCCAUGUGAUGGGGCACAACCUUUUUGUAACCCUGGUCUGCAUCAGGUGACCGGGGCUGAGCGAUACAGAUCAAGUCUCUUACCAGCUGUCCUGUGAGUCAGACCCUGAUUACAAUAUUGACAUUAACAUUUUAAUCGCACGCGUGUCGUUGCAGAUUUUAAUGGCCAACUUGCUCUGCCUCUGCUUUUUGAGGAUCAGCGGUUAGACCCUGAUUGGUGGCUUGAGUGAGUGCACCACCAGAACAGCAGCUCCCCUCGCGUGAACGGCAUUGAGCUCACCACGAGCCUGUCCCUGGACAUUAACCUUGCUGGCACAGGAACACCUCACUGGAACGGGGACUUUGUUCUCAAUUACUCUAUUCCUGUGUCUGAGGUAGGACUGGAAGUUAUGAAAAGAUGAGAAAGGCGGCGCUUUUGUAGUCUCUGUAGCCUGAGGCGAUGUGAAAAUCUACCCAGUUCUUGUCUAACUAUCCUUUUUGAAUUCCCAGGGAUGUUAAUCAGAGCAGAGUAAUCCAGAGAUUUUUCCUCCAUCCUGUGGAACUGGAAGCAGGGCUGCUAUUACGCUUUUUCUGCCUUGUGCCAUCAGAGCAAGGGCUGAAGAAACUUCUUUGCAAAUGAGAAUCAGGCCUUAAAUCCGUGUUGUUCCUCUCUCCCCAAACAUGCGCCACACACUGUUGUGAGCACUGUGAGCUGCAUCUGUGAGGCCUCGCUGUGUCGAAGACUGUCAUGUCCAAGAUGGAAGGACAACCAAAAGGGUCUGAGGGAUGCUAGAGGGGAUGAGGACAGUAACAUCUUUGAUACAGGAUCCUUUGAGCAUCCAGCUCAACAUUGGACAAAAGGAUGCCUUCCGCUACACAGAGCCUUAAACUUGCAAAAGGGAUUUGUGAGCAGCUUGCUUGUCAAGAACAAAUGCUAGUCAAAAGAAAUGCAUGACUUAUUGACCUUGAGUUCACUGAACCUUCAUCUUGAUGCUUCCGCACCACUAAGGAAUCGGCCUCUCUGAAAAUUAAAGUUCCCAGAUUAGAACAGAAGCUUCAACAAAGGACUUGUAUGGCUUUACAAAUACACAUGGAUUAGAGGACUUUAAAAGAGCUUUGUUAGAACAAUGGGAUUAUGGAAAACAAAUGUUUGAGAGGUGAAGAGAUCGAUCUUCUCUCAAUGAAGUGACUCUUCUGCCCCUCAAGCCCAGUUGUCUGUGGGCCAACACAAGAAAAUAUUUUUGCAAAUCAAGAGGAGGAGGAACUGUGAGCCCUGUUUGGGCAGUGUCUGCAUGGUUCCAGGUGGGCUGUGGAGGAUGCAGAGCGCGUUACUCCGUGGAAGAGAUCCUAUAGUAUCGGUUCCCUCCCUACUCCAGACAGACUGUAACUGUGCUAGCAGUUUUCCAGCCAAAAGAAAAGGAGGAUGUGUUCAGGUACUACAGCAUGAGCACAAAUGAAGCAGAUCCCCAAACUGCUGUGGAACCUCUGCCAGGUCCUGAGGAGAGCCCACACCCUUCUGCUCAUCAGCUGAAAGCAAUGGUCUCGUCACCUGGGUGGUCUCCCCUGUUGCAAGGUCUUCCAGAACGGGCAUCGCUUUUCCACUUCAAAGGAAGUUCUGAAGCAACUGUGGAUCUUUCUAUGUCUUAGUUCUGUGUCCCAGUUCUGGAUGAUGUUUCUUGCUGAGAACAGACUCACAGGGAUUCAUCCACAAACAAACGCAUCCUGUGUGGCUGGGAGCACAGCUCAAAUGCUGUGGGAAAGCAAAGGAGUUUGAACUACGUGGUAAGAAUGGGAAGGAUUUCUGGGACUAUCUGGGAUGUGGGAACCAGGAAUGAUCCUGUGCUGAGAGAAGACUUUGCUAUCUGCUAUUCUCUCCUGAGCCCUGAUUUUCCUAUCAAGGGGAUGCAUCCUUUGAACCAGAUCAAAAUGUGAAGCAGAUUUUCAGAUAUUUCAUAGGGAUUUGAUUUUUCCUCUGUUAUUGCUGAAUUCUAUAUUUUCUUGCAGUGCCCUCCUAUUACCUGUCUUUAGUUUCCAGCUGGUUUCUUGUAUGCAGUUUAAGAAAAGUGCCUCGGAAGAUUAAGGAAGCGUUUUGUAGACGGUGUAAUUUCACCCAGCCCUGCAGUGACACAUCCCAUCCUCCAGGAGGGCAGAGCUGAACAUCCUUUUCCAGCAGCAGCACAAUUUUAGCUUCAGGCUUCAGCUACCGUCCAGCCUUCGAGCCCUGACACUAUCGCCUUUCGUGGGUGCUCAGUGCACGCACCGCUGAGCCCUGGGCUGAGCGGCGCCAUCAGUGUGAAGCUGAGCAAUGCUGCUUUGGGGGCUGAUGCUCCGAAGUAAGCAAUACAAGACCGCCCCACUUCCUCCGAUUCCAGCUCUACCUGCCACUGAGUAAAUAUUUUCCUGUGCAAGUGCUGUGCAAAGAUGAUCCCUUGCUCCUGUUAAUGAGGACUUCUCUAAUCACCCCCAUCUUUCAUCACCUGGUCUUGCCUGCAAGGGAAGUGAUCUUUCUUCAGAUCUCUGGAGCUGGAGCAUCAGUAUGAGCUUCAGUGAAGGUGCUGGAGAGAUACCCAUUACCACUGCUGGAUUCCAGGCUGAUAUCAUCGUGCUGGAACCAGGCUUUGCAGUGACAUGCUUCUCUCUCCCUCAGGCAUCCAACUCGCCCCGUCCACAUGUGCAGCCCAGGCGUGACCUCCGCACUUGGCUGGGCUCUGACCGCCCAUUUAACAGUCAAAGGCUGGAAAGGGAGUUGCUGGUGUGCUAUUUUUAACCAGCUGGACAGUUAAAUAAUUCAGACACAGACAUACACGCAGUGGUCUGGGCUGUGCCUGAGAUUUGAAAGGGGAGAAGAGCAUUGUGCUGCCCCUGCUAGCUUUGCUUGACCUUGGCAAGCAUGGGUUCCCAGGCUCUUUAACACAAACACAAAGCAAAACCCAAGUUUCCAGGAGUGAAAUCCUUGCCUCAGUGAUGUCAUUUGGGCUCCUGGCUCUGACUGCAAUGGAGCCUGGAACACACUUAACUGCAAGGCAUGAACUGUUCAGUAUUUCCUUGCUUCCUAAUGCUGCAGAACCUCCUUCUCCCCUCUAUGAAAUAAAACCCAUUACAGUGCGAGUAGGAGUCCAGAAUGGGGAAUGUCAAAACUUCUGGGGAAAACAGGAGCAGUUUCAAAAAAGCUCUUUGGAAGCAGGACGCUCCAUAUGUGGCUAGUCCCCUUGAUUUUGGACUUGGGAAGGAAGAUGCAUAGAAAAAGGUUUCAUGUCUUCUCUCCAGCCCACUCCUUUCCCCAGCUGCCCUGUGCAGUGAUUCACAGCUCAUUGAGGAGCCACCCCUCUCACACAGGGAUCCCUGGGAGAGCACAGAGCUCUGCUUUUCCCACCAAACAGACUUCAUCUGGAGUACCAGAGUCAGCGCUUUCAGAGAAAGCAUAGGGUAGUGGCUUGGUUUUGAGAGACACCAGAAGGGUUUUCACAGCUGGAAGUUGUUCUGCAGAGCAACAGAGGUGUCAGUGCAUUACUGCGUAACAAAACCAGCGGUCACCUGCUCUCAGUUUGGGCAAAUGGGUAUUUUCUAAUUUUUGCUCACUAACAGGUAGAGUUAUUUACUUUAAAUUUCCUCAAUAUUUUUUUCCUUGUCCAACUGAACUAAAACAAGAAAAUUCACUAUCACUGAAAACAGAUUUGAAUAGAAAUUACCUAUCCUGGUCUCCAGAUGCCAUUAUGAUGAUUCUACUCCAAUUGCAUUAUAUCAGUGUGGAGCCUGGUGGUACUAUCCUUGUCUGACAGACAGGGAAGCGCUGGAACAGGCUAUAAUAACUCACCAGAAAGUCUUGGAUGCAGGAAUUGCAUGAGUUAAAGGCCUCAAACUUCUAUAAAUUAGCUCAUUCUUGUGCUCUUGUCCUCUUAGUCUGUUUGCCUUCACCAGUGGGUAAUGCUUACUGUUUCCGAUGGAGACACACAUUAUCACACCUUAUUGUUUAAUCUUGGGCAAAUAUGAUCUGGGGGAGUGAGGUUUUACAAUUAAGUAAAUGUACCACAUUGAAUAGGCAAAAGAGACCCUGUUAAACGCAUGUGCAUCAAAGGAAAGGCUUGGACUCAGUCUUUUUAGGCAUGAGGGAACCCACAGAGGAGCUCAACUUUGAAAGAAAUGUGCAGCAAACCAGGCUUCACUGAUUCUGCUGUUAAUAGGACUGCUUGUUUCCUUUGAUUCCUGUGCGCCAGUUCAGCUGUGUUUUGGGACCGAACAAGAUCUUUCCACCAGUUCGAUUUCAAACACGCGGUAAAUGACUCUGUGUCUGAAGCACCCGAGGUUCCCGGGUGGUCUCUGCAAAGAGACCACGGCUGCUUCUGCUGCCGAGAUCGGGCGAGACGAGGCUCCCCGUUCUAGCGCGGUCAGCACCCGCCGUCUCAUCGGGCAGGUAAUCGAUAGGAGGAGGAGAAGGAUGUUACAAGUCCCUUGUGUGUUCCAUGUUUGAGGUUCUCCUUGUGUCUCCACAUCCCAAAUCGUGACAACAUUUAUUAAUGGAGACGUGUGAAGUCUCGUUAAAAGAAUGCGGCUUGUGAUGACGGCUUUAAUGAAUCACUUGUGGCCAGGAUGACUCAGCCAAAUCAGGCUGGCAGCCAGCAGCUGGGCAGAGGCGGCUUCCCGAAGGCAGACGCUUGGCAGCACGCGUACACGGCACUUGCUAAGAGCACAGCAUUUUUAAAAGGUCAGCUGUGACCCAUGCAAUCCCUGCAUGCUUCUGAAAACCUCUGAGGGGAACACCAGUAAGGAGAGCGAAUUUUGCAUCGGAGGUGUAUUUUUCCAGCUAGAAGUGUUGGUAAGUGGGUGGGAAGGCUGGACAUCCAGAGCUUGUAUUUGCAAACGGAACUGAUAGUACACUUGAAAAAUGCAACCUUAGGUUUACCAAAUCCCACUUCUUUUUCCCCAGCUGUGAGCUAUCUGUCUGUCCUUCCGUCUGAGCUGCAAAAGGACAUUCCCCUGGGAGGCAGAUGCCCUGCCUCUUUGAGAGUGCAUGGAAAAUAGCAUGCCGUGCCACGUACAAUGGACAAGCUCAAUUUUCAGAUAAUACAGAAUUGGGAUGUCUUAUCUAAUGCUGGUAGCAGACUCUCCUGAGAGUCUGCACAGCAAAAUUCACCUUCUUAGUACAGCGAAUUUAAAUCACCAGAGCCACACUGGUAAAACUCUCCUGUGCACAACCUCAUUCUGGACUCAAGUCCUCGAGUAAUUAUUCUGUAAUAAAGUCACUUAAAUUUUAGAAUAGAGUGUCCGUGUGGAGGAGUUAUACAGGCACAGCUAUAACAGGAUAAUUAUUUUGUUAUAGCUAUGCCAGUCGAUUUCUCAAGGCCUCAGUCACAUGGGAAAGCUGAAAUGAUGUAUUUUUUACAGUCUCCAGCAAUUCUUUAUUUUUUAAUGUCCAUUAGUGCUUGACUAACGCUGAAUGAUAGUAGAAAUUCUCCAGGACAAAGGCACCUCUCAGAAUUUUCUUGUGGUUAUCAAAGGAAUUUGGUUUUAUCCUGUUAAAGCUAAUAUGUAAUGAAUUGCUGGUGAUUGGGGGUUUAUAGCUGAAUUGACUGGGAAUUAUGAAGCCACUGUUUACUAAAUCCAAACAGAAUAGCUGAAAUACAAUUGUAGAGAAGGUCCUUAUUUAUGUGUGAAGAAUCCUUAAGAUUUUUAAAGAGUACACACUAAAACCAACAAGGAUAUAAAAUUCCCUUCUCCCCACACUAUUGAAAGUUUUAUCUUUCAACAUAGGAUUUUAUGACUAAGCUUAACAGUUUCAUGGGUUCUGAAAUAGUUCAGUUCCUGAGUAAGUUGCUGCAAGAUGAAUACCAUAUGAUUAUUAUUAAUUAACGUGGUGAAUAUAGUACUUCAGAAUAAAACCGCACCUAUCAAAGGACAAUGGCAUACAUGAGAUUUCUAUGGCGAUACGACUGAUCUAGCUCAAGUCUGGAGAUUAAAGCACAGAAGGAACUCAGAGCCUGGAUCCCUUGGAAUUGCCCAGUGAAACGCUAGACAUAGCAAACAGGAGGCAACUGAAUUUGUCGCAGUCCUAUUUGAAGUUAGCAGAACAGGGAAGGCCAAAGAUCUCUGUGCCCACGGAUGCGCUGUGUGGCUCCUGCACGCCAGUAAGGGCACACGGCAAACUCUUUGUGGAGCUGAGGCUUAUGUACAAGCAAGCGGACCCAACAUGAUGUGCUUAAUUGAAAGUGUAACUCAAAAUGAAACCUGCCUAUAGUUGUCAGCUGUCCUACAGCAGAAUGUUAUCUAAUUACAUGUAUAGCUUCUUAGAAGAGGAAAAAGAAUUGAAUUGAGGUAGAGGACACCACCGUGCAUGUCCAAGUGGAAUGUAUACAAGGAUAAAAGCGAAGUGUGGUCUGCAGGGCCAUGUAUUUCACGCACGCUUGGGUAGGUGGACAGCUUGUAGGUUCCAUGAGAGUCCCCCC